UAAGGAUAUUGCCGGUGACAACCCGGAGGAAGGUGGGGAUGACGCCAAGUCAUCAUGGCCCUUACGGCCUGGGCUACACACGUGCUACAAUGGUCGGUACAGAGGGUUGCCAAGCCGCGAGGUGGAGCUAAUCCCAUAAAACCGAUCGUAGUCCGGAUCGCAGUCGACAACUCGACUGCGUGAAGUCGGAAUCGGGAGGUAAUCGCGAAUCAGAAUGUCGCGUGAUAC
rnacentral:rRNA from 1 species